rnacentral:rRNA from 1 species
GUGGGGAAUAUUGGGCAAUGGGCGCAAGCCUGACCCAGCAACGCCGCGUGAAGGAAGAAGGCUUUCGGGUUGUAAACUUCUUUGACAGGGGACGAAACAAAUGACGGUACCCUGAAAACAAGCCACGGCUAACUACGUGCCAGCAGCCGCGGUAAUACGUAGGUGGCAAGCGUUAUCCGGAUUUACUGGGUGUAAAGGGCGUGUAGGCGGGAUUACAAGUCAGAUGUGAAAACUAUGGGCUCAACCCAUAGCCUGCAUUUGAAACUGUAGUUCUUGAGUGAUGGAGAGGCAGACGGAAUUCCUCGUGUAGCGGUGAAAUGCGUAGAUAUGAGGAGGAACACCAGUGGCGAAGGCGGUCUGCUGGACAUUAACUGACGCUGAGGCGCGAAAGCGUGGGGAGCAAACAGGAUUAGAUACCCGGGUAGUCC